GACAGUUGGCAGAAUAACCCUGGGUGAGUUAAACGACAAUGCCAGAGAGGCCACCCUGCUAAAAAUGAAGGAUUCUGAGGGUCUAAAAGAUGAUGCUACCAAAGGAUAGAAGGAGCUGGGAGUCCUGAGUCAUUGCUUAGAGGAGAGGUAUAUUGGACUUUGCAUAACAAGAAAUAAACUUCAAUUAUGUUAAGCCACUGAAAGCUAGUGUUUGUUUACUACAGUAUUAAUUAUCCUGAUUAGUAUAAUAUCUCUUUGGUUCUGAA